CGAGUGCAAAUCGGAAGACGGACCCUAAAGGGUCCCGGGGCUU
rnacentral:tRNA from 1 species